UACGGAGGGUGCAAGCGUUAUCCGGAUUCACUGGGUUUAAAGGGUGCGUAGGUGGGCAGGUAAGUCAGUGGUGAAAUCUCCGGGCUUAACCCGAAAACUGCCAUUGAUACUAUCUGUCUUGAAUACCCUGGAGGUGAGCGGAAUAUGUCAUGUAGCGGUGAAAUGCUUAGAUAUGACAUAGAACACCCAUUGCGAAGGCAGCUCACUACGGGAAUAUUGACACUGAGGCACGAAAGCGUGGGGAUCAAACAGGA
rnacentral:rRNA from 1 species